rnacentral:rRNA from 1 species
GAAUAAGAAGGUUUGGCUAACUCCUGUGCCAGCAGCAGCGGUAAUACAGAGACCUCGAGCGUUAUCCGGAUUUACUGGGCGUAAAGCGUCUGUAGGGGGUUUGUUAAGUUCCAAGUAAAAUCUUAAGGCUCAACUUUAAGUUCGCUUGGAAAACUAAUAAACUGGAGUCCAGCAGAGGUGCAUGGAACUUGCGGUGUAGGAGUGAAAUCCGUUGAUAUCGCAAGGAACACCAAAGGCGAAGGCAUUGCACUGGGCUGGUACUGACCCUGAGAGACGAAAGCGUGGGGAGCAAAACGGAUUAGAUACCCGUGUAGUCCACGCCGUAAACGAUGGAUACUAGAUGUUCGGGGAUUCGACCCCCUGGGUGUCACAGCUAACGCGUUAAGUAUCCCGCCUGGGAAGUACGGCCGCAAGGCUAAAACUCAAAGGAAUAGACGGGGAUCCGCACAAGCGGUGGAGCGUCUGGUUUAAUUUGAUAGUAAGCAAUGGACCUCACCAAGGUUUGACAUCCUAUGACAACCCUGGAAACAGGGCUUCCUUCGGGCAUAGUGACAGGUGCUGCAUGGUCGUCGUCAGUUCGUGCCGUGAGGUGUUCCGUUAAGUCGGGAAACGAACGAAACCCUCGUCGCAUGUUACAAAUUUCAUGCGAGACUGCCCGGGUCAACCGGGAGGAAGGCGGGGAUGACGUCAGAUCAGCAUGGCCCUUAUACCUUGGGCUACACAGGCGCUACAAUGGCCGGUACAAAGGGUUGCAAAACCGCGAGGUGAAGCUAAUCCCAUAAAGCCGGUCCAAGUUCGGAUUGGAGGCUGCAACUCGCCUCCAUGAAGUUGGAAUCGCUAGUAAUCGUGGAUCACGCCAUACCACGGUGAAUACGUUCCCGGAUCUUGUACUCACCGCCCGUCACACCA